rnacentral:lncRNA from 1 species
GGGAACAGGGUUCCUCAAAGGCAGAACAUGUCCUAAGUGCUUGUCAUAAGUGCAUAUUCUUAGCUUGUUAAUAAAACACUUAACAUACUGCUAAUCCAGACUCUGCGGGUUUCAGAGAUACUGAUACAGACUAGCACCCUGAUCACUGGGUGUUGCUCUAAUUAAGGUGUUUGAAGUUUGAAUCUGAUUUGACUGAAAGGUAUACCCUUAAAACAGUGUUCUUUUUCUUAAAGCAAAUCUCAGUAUCAGGGUGUCAUCAUUACCCUUUCUGUCCCGUAGUCAAUCACUGAAAAGGUGACAUCCUAGGUAAUGGACUGAACACCAUGAGUUGUACAUUUAUACAGAUUUAUCAUCUACUCUGAGUAGGUGCUUAAAUCU